rnacentral:rRNA from 1 species
AACGAACGCUGGCGGCAUGCCUAACACAUGCAAGUCGAACGAGACCUUCGGGUCUAGUGGCGCACGGGUGCGUAACGCGUGGGAACCUGCCCUUAGGUUCGGAAUAACUCCCCGAAAGGGGUGCUAAUACCGGAUAAUGUCUUCGGACCAAAGAUUUAUCGCCUUUGGAUGGGCCCGCGUUGGAUUAGCUAGUUGGUAGGGUAAAAGCCUACCAAGGCGACGAUCCAUAGCUGGUCUGAGAGGAUGAUCAGCCACACUGGGACUGAGACACGGCCCAGACUCCUAGGAGAAGCAGCAGUGGGGAAUAUUGGACAAUGGGCGAAAGCCAGAUCCAGCAAUGCCGCGUGAGUGAUGAAGGGCUUAGGGUUGUAAAGCUCUUUUACCCGGGAUGAUAAUGACAGUACCGGGAGAGAAAGCUCCGGCUAACUCCGU